AACUAAUUUAAAAACGUAAUAAUUUUCUGCUUACAUUAAUAUGAUACUCUAAAUGUUCUCUCAUUGUUUUAAAAGGCAUUUGGGUACGCGUUGCCGAGGCCCCAAACGUCAUACAGAUAUACUGCGUCAUGCUCUCUAUGCGCGUGAUUUAUGUAUAGGACGGUACGGCAUAACAUUUGAUACUUUUAAACAACAAUGCGAAAGUUUUCGCUUGUUUGCAUUUUUCGGUGUAACAGCCGCGUUAACAUUAGAUUUACUCUUAAGGCCACCUGAAAGCUCUUAUUGGAAACGUUACAGUCCUUCGAAAUGGCCUAAACAUUUGUUGAAUUUCUUUCAAUCCACCCAACCAUCAAGUGUUUUUUUUAAUAACCAAUAUAAAGGAACUCGUAAGGGUUUUGAAGCCUAUGAAACAUUAAUGAAAUCAUAAUGCUGAAAAACUGACACUUAUUUUGAGCGUUUAUUCACACUUUUUGUUAACGUUAAGAAUUUUUAGCAAAUUUCAAUAAACACAAUUGUAUUUUUUUUUAACCUGUUCCUUGACUCUCUCUCUCUCUAUAUAUAUAUAUACAUGUACGUUUGCGUGUGUUUGUAAGUGGGUGAAAACGGAUUUAGUAUCAUUAAGAACAAACUAGUUUUAAACUUUUCACGUAACACAAAAGGCAAGGAAAACAACAUAAGCUCGUGAUACCUGGAUUUCCAGUUUCGCUCAUCCAAGCAAUAUGUUUUAAUAGUAUAUUGUAUAUUAUUCUAGAAGCAUUAUGGAAGUUCAUGAGGAGAGAUCCUAUUCGAAUAAAGAAGAAAACGAUUCAAAUGACGAAAAAAGGCAUAUAAAUAAACAAAAAAGUUCUUCAAAUGCGUCUUUGAGUCAUACAAAUAAUCAAAAAAGUUCUUCAAAUGCGUCUUUGAGUCAUACAAAUAAGGUACUACAGGUGAAAUCCGCUCUUCCCCAGACCUUGCAUCAUCGUACUUCUACCAAACUUCAAGCAAAACGUUCACACUCAAUAGAUUCUCGAAAUGAUGACACUGUGAGGACCGAUGAAAAGGCAAAUUUUAUUACUAAUUUCAGUCAGCAAAAACUUCACGCAUGGCAGCCUGUUUUGACAACUGGAUGGAUUGUGUCUUUCUUUUUCGUUUUUGGUUUCAUCUUCUCAUGUUUAGGUAUACUCCUUAUUCUAACCAGCAAUAAAGUAGUUGAAUGUGUGUACGAAUACCCUGAUCCAUCAAUCACCAACUCCAUUUAUAACGCUGAAAUUCGCCCUGAGCAUUGUGUUGGUCCAUUUCAUACCACAAUUUCUCCACCUAUUUAUUUAUACUACGAACUAAGUAACUAUUAUCAAAAUCAUCGACGUUAUGUCAAUAGUCGUCAUGAAGAGCAACUAAGAGGAAAAAUCCUAACAGAUGCUUCAGAUGCUUCCUCUUGCCAUCCUAUGAUAACGGAUUCUGAUGGUCGUAUUUUAAGUCCUUGUGGUUUAGCUGCUCACAGUGUUUUCAAUGAUAGCUUCACCAUGUCUAUUGAUAAUGAAAAUGUCAAGCUGGAUGAAAGUGUUUCCGUUAUUGCAUGGUCUAGUGACGUUCGCUUUAGGUUUAAAAAUCCUCAAAACGUACCAAACGACAAAGUCAAUGAAUGGUUAAAUGAAGAUAUUUUUCCUAAGAAAGUGGAAAACGGUCAUUUCAUUGUGUGGAUGAGAAACGCAGCGUUACCAACGUUUCGAAAAUUAUACGCUCGAAUUGAUCAACCACUUACAUUACCGCUUACAGUUCAUAUCACGAAUCGGUAUCCAGUCGGAUCUUUUCAAGGAAAAAAACGUGUUGUUUUAUCUACCACCUCUUGGUUAGGAGGACGCAACAAAUUUUUGGGUUUCGCCUAUAUUUUUAUUGGUGCAUGGUGUCUCAUUUUCGGUCUCUUUUUUUGCAUAAAGAAUUAUCGAAAACCACGAAUUCUCGGAGAUGUUCGAUAUUUGAAAUGGGCUUGUAAUCGUUCUUGGUAAUAUUAAUUUCUUCACAUUUUUCUUUAAAAUAGAAAAAUCAGUAAGAAAAUAACUAUUUUUGUAAAAUACUUUUCACGACAAAAAAAAAGAAAGCAUUAUUUACGUUAAAUUCAGCAGUGCUCUAAUUCAAAGUAUCUGUACAACGAAGAAAAUAGAGACCAAAAAAGAAAAUUAUAUUUUUUUGCUUAUUUUUUUCAAAUCCUUGGAGCG